UACGUAGGUGGCGAGCGUUGUCCGGAUUUACUGGGCGUAAAGGGAGCGUAGGCGGACUUUUAAGUGAGAUGUGAAAUACCCGGGCUCAACUUGGGUGCUGCAUUUCAAACUGGAAGUCUAGAGUGCAGGAGAGGAGAAUGGAAUUCCUAGUGUAGCGGUGAAAUGCGUAGAGAUUAGGAAGAACACCAGUGGCGAAGGCGAUUCUCUGGACUGUAACUGACGCUGAUGCACGAAAGCGUGGGGAGCAAACAGGAUUAGAUA
rnacentral:rRNA from 1 species